GGACUACCAGGGUAUCUAAUCCUGUUUGCUCCCCAUGCUUUCGUACCUCAGCGUCAGUAUUAGGCCAGAUGGCUGCCUUCGCCAUCGGUAUUCCUCCAGAUCUCUACGCAUUUCACCGCUACACCUGGAAUUCUACCAUCCUCUCCCAUACUCUAGCCUUACAGUUUUGAAUGCAAUUCCCAAGUUAAGCUCGGGGAUUUCACAUCCAACUUAUAAAGCCGCCUACGCACGCUUUACGCCCAGUAAAUCCGAUUAACGCUCGCACCCUCUGUAUUACCGCGGCGGCUGGCAC
rnacentral:rRNA from 1 species